rnacentral:rRNA from 1 species
UACGUAGGGGGCGAGCGUUGUCCGGAUUUAUUGGGCGUAAAGAGCUCGUAGGCGGCUCGUCGCGUCGACCGUGAAAACCCGCAGCUUAACUGCGGGCUUGCGGUUGAUACGGGCGGGCUAGAGUUCGGUAGGGGAGACUGGAAUUCCUGGUGUAGCGGUGAAAUGCGCAGAUAUCAGGAGGAACACCGGUGGCGAAGGCGGGUCUCUGGGCCGAUACUGACGCUGAGGAGCGAAAGCGUGGGGAGCGAACAGG